UUGUGUCUUACCGCAUUUCCCGUAUAAAGUUUACUAGAAUGCGAUCAUGUGUGCUUUUAGUGGGUUAAAUGGAGAUCACGUGCAAUUGAUGUUUGCUGUUCAUGCGUGAAUUUGCUGAUAUUGAAAUUUGGAAUUUGUCUUGGUCUAGAAUGCAUGCUUUGUUUCUAUAAACUCGAAUACUUGUGAAUUUGGUACGAAUUUUUUGUGUGAGGAGUUUGGGAUUAGGUCCUUCAUGAAAGUUGUCCUUCACAUAAAAGCUGCAAAAAAUGGUUGUAUGUUUGCCUUGCUGCUCUGUUCUACUUUUGAUUGACCUUGAUCUCUUCCAGGAUGUUAUAAAUUCACGUGCCUAGAAUUUUAGGAUGUUUCUUCAUGAAGUUUGUUCCUCAUAUGCUGAUUCACCUGCCAUAGAAAUUU
rnacentral:lncRNA from 1 species